GGCUGUGAUCUAGGAUCUGGCAAAAAACAUCUGUCUCCCCACUGAUGACCAGGAUUCAUUCAGCUGACCUGGCUGGCAAGGUGGGUGCUCCUUCCUCCCUCAUUGCUCCCUGUGCACCCCUCCUGAAUCCACAAGGUCAGAGGCAGAUGGCCCUUCCCAAGAGAGGAGAACCGGUGUUGUUACGGGUAUAUGUGAGUAACUACGUUCCUCUGCUAGAAUCUCCAGAUAAGUUCUGAAGCUUGGUUUACAGCUUGGCCUGGUGUCACCGUACUGUAAUCCCAACUGCUCAAGAGACUGAGGCAGGGGAACUUUAGGU
rnacentral:snRNA from 1 species